AGUGAACGCUGGCGGUAGGCCUAACACAUGCAAGUCGAACGGCAGCACAGUAAGAGCUUGCUCUUACGGGUGGCGAGUGGCGGACGGGUGAGGAAUACAUCGGAAUCUACUUUUUCGUGGGGGCUAACGUAGGGAGACUUACGCUAAUACCGCAUACGACCUACGGGUGAAAGCAGGGGAUCUUCGGACCUUGCGCGAUUGAAUGAGCCGAUGUCGGAUUAGCUAGUUGGCGGGGUAAAGGCCCACCAAGGCGACGAUCCGUAGCUGGUCUGAGAGGAUGAUCAGCCACACUGGAACUGAGACACGGUCCAGACUCCUACGGGAGGCAGCGGUGGGGAAUAUUGGACAAUGGGCGCAAGCCUGAUCCAGCCAUACCGCGUGGGUGAAGAAGGCCUUCGGGUUGUAAAGCCCUUUUGUUGGGAAAGAAAAGCAGCAGGUUAAUACCCCGCUGUUCUGACGGUACCCAAAGAAUAAGCACCGGCUAACUUCGUG
rnacentral:rRNA from 1 species